rnacentral:rRNA from 1 species
UACAGAGGUCUCAAGCGUUGUUCGGAUUCAUUGGGCGUAAAGGGUGUGUAGGUGGCGCCGUAAGUCGGGUGUGAAAUCUCGGGGCUUAACUCCGAAACUGCAUUCGAUACUGCGGUGCUUGAGGACUGGAGAGGAGACUGGAAUUCAUGGUGUAGCAGUGAAAUGCGUAGAUAUCGUAAGGAAGACCAGUGGCGAAGGCGGGUCUCUGGACAGUUCCUGACGCUGAGGCACGAAGGUCAGGGGGAGCAAACGGG